UGAGGAAUAUUGGGCAAUGGACGCAAGUCUGACCCAGCCAUGCCGCGUGCAGGAUGAAUGCCCUAUGGGUUGUAAACUGCUUUUGUACAGAAAGAAAUCACCGGACGUGUCCGGUGUUGACGGUACUGUAUGAAUAAGCAUCGGCUAACUCCGUGCCAGCAGCCGCGGUAAUACGGAGGAUGCAAGCGUUAUCCGGAUUUAUUGGGUUUAAAGGGUGUGUAGGCGGGAAAUUAAGUCAGUGAUGAAAUCCUACAGCUUAACUGUAGAACUGUUAUUGAUACUGGUUUUCUUGAAUACAGUUGAGGCAGGCGGAAUGUGUAAUGUAGCGGUGAAAUGCUUAGAUAUUACACAGAACACCGAUUGCGAAGGCAGCUUGCUAAACUGUCAUUGACGCUGAGGCACGAAAGCGUGGGGAUCAAACAGG
rnacentral:rRNA from 1 species